UACGGGGGGGGCAAGCGUUGUUCGGAAUUACUGGGCGUAAAGGGCUCGUAGGUGGCCAACUAAGUCAGACGUGAAAUCCCUCGGCUUAACCGGGGAACUGCGUCUGAUACUGGAUGGCUUGAGUUUGGGAGAGGGAUGCGGAAUUCCAGGUGUAGCGGUGAAAUGCGUAGAUAUCGGGAGGAACACCUGUGGCGAAGGCGGCCCCCUGGUUGGAUACUGACGCUGAUACGCGAAAGCGUGGGGAGCAAACAGG
rnacentral:rRNA from 1 species